rnacentral:lncRNA from 1 species
AAGAGCAACAGAAAAAUACCAUCAACAAGGCGGCAGACGGUGAGAUGGGAGGGGCCUUCUCCAUCUGCUCUUCUGCUCUGCCCACCUCAAUCCUCCUGAAACUGGAGCUUCUCCUCUGCCCACCUCAAUCCUCCUGCUCCUGGAGCUUCUCCUCUUCCCACCUCAAUCCUCCUGCUCCUACGGCUGGAGCUUCUCCUCUUCCCACCUCAAUCCUCCUGCUCCUGGAGCUUCUGCACUUCCCACCUCAAUCCUCCUGCUCCUGGAGCUUCUGCUCUUCCCACCUCAAUCCUCCUGAAACUGGAGGUUCUCCUCUCUCCUCUUCCCACCUCAAUCCUCCUGCUCCUGGAGCUUCUCUCUCCUCUUCCCACCUCAAUCCUCCUGCUCCUGGAGCUUCUCCUCUCUUCUCUUCCCACCUCGAAUUCUCCUGCUCCUACAACUGGAGCUUCUCUCUCCUCUUCCCACCUCAAAUCCUUCUGCUCCUGGAGGUUCUCCUCUNAAUCCUCCUGCUCCUGGAGCUUCUCCUCUCUUCUCUUCCCACCUCGAAUUCUCCUGCUCCUACAACUGGAGCUUCUCUCUCAUCUUCCCACCUCAAAUCCUUCUGCUUCUGGAGCUUCUUCUCUUCCCACCUCAAUCCUCCUGCUCCUACGGUUGGAGCUUCUCUUCUUCUGCUCUGCCCUCCUCAAAUCCUCCUGCUCCUGGAGCUUCUCUCUCCUCUUCCCACCUCAAAUCCUUCUGCUCCUGGAGGUUCUCCUCUCUCCUCUUUCCACCUCAAAUCCUCCUGCUUCUGAAGCUUCUUCUCUCUCCUCUGCCCAACUCAAAUCCUCCUGAUCCUGGAGCUUCUCCUCUCUCCUCUGCCCAACUCAAAUCCUCCUGCUCCUAGAGCUUCUUCUUUCUCCUCUUCCCACCUCAAUCCUCCUGCUCCUGGAGCUUCUCCUCUCUCCUCUGCCCAACUCAAAUCCUCCUGCUCCUAGAGCUUCUUCUUUCUCCUCUUCCCACCUCAAAUCGUCCUGCUCCUGGAGCUUCUCCUCUUCCCACCUCAAAUCCUCCUGCUCCUGCGUCUGGAGCUUCUC